rnacentral:rRNA from 1 species
AUUGAACGCUGGCGGCAUGCUUUACACAUGCAAGUCGGACGGCAGCACAGAGGAGCUUGCUUCUUGGGUGGCGAGUGGCGAACGGGUGAGUAACGCAUCGGAACGUACCGAGUAAUGGGGGAUAACUGUCCGAAAGGACAGCUAAUACCGCAUACGCCCUGAGGGGGAAAGCGGGGGAGCUUAGGACCUCGCGUUAGUCGAGCGGCCGAUGUCUGAUUAGCUGGUUGGCGGGGUAAAGGCCCACCAAUGCGACGAUCUGUAGCGGGUCGGAGAGGAUGAUCCGCCACGCUGGGACUGAGCCGCGGCCCUGGCUCCUGCGGUAGGCCGCAUUGGGGAAGUUAGGCCUCUGGGCGCGAGCCUGAUCCAGCCAUGCCGCGUGUCUGAAGGAGGCCUUCGGGUUGUAAAGGCCUUUUGUCAGGGAAGAAAAGGGGCAUGUUAAACCCGUGCUCUGAUGACGGUACCUGAAGAAUACGCCCCGCCUACCUCCUU